UCAAGGGGUAGUUUAAGUAGAAUUUCAGCUUUGGGUGUUGAAGGCAGGGCUUAAUGCUCUCUCCUUGA
rnacentral:tRNA from 1 species